rnacentral:rRNA from 1 species
UACUGAGCGGCGGACGGGUGAGUAACGCGUGGGUAACCUGCCUCAUACAGGGGGAUAACAGUUGGAAACGGCUGCUAAUACCGCAUAAGCGCACAGUACCGCAUGGUACGGUGUGAAAAACUCCGGUGGUAUGAGAUGGACCCGCGUCUGAUUAGGUAGUUGGUGGGGUAACGGCCUACCAAGCCGACGAUCAGUAGCCGACCCGAGAGGGUGACCGGCCACAUUGGGACUGAGACACGGCCCAA